rnacentral:SRP_RNA from 1 species
GCCAGGCAUGGUGGCGCAUGCCUGUAAUCCCAGCUACUUGGGAGGCUGAGGCAGGAGAAUCACUGGAACCCGGGAAGCAGAGGUUGCAGUGAGCCGAGAUGGCGCCACUGCACUCCAGCCUGGGCAACAGAGUUAGACUCCGUCUCAU